rnacentral:rRNA from 1 species
UACGUAGGGUGCGAGCGUUAAUCGGAAUUACUGGGCGUAAAGCGUGCGCAGGCGGUGAUGUAAGACCGAUGUGAAAAUCCCCCGGGCUUAACCUGGGAACUGCAUUGGUGACUGCAUCGCUCGAGUAUGGCAGAGGGGGGGUAGAAUUCCACGUGUAGCAGUGAAAUGCGUAGAUAUGCGGAGGAACACCGAUGGCGAAGGCAAUCCCCUGGGCCUGCACUGACGCUCAUGCACGAAACGUGGGGAGCAAACAGG